rnacentral:sRNA from 1 species
UUAUUGCCCGAUCGUCACGCCGACUCAGCCAGUGGUAAACCGUUCUGCUCUGCAUCAGCAGCCCACAACCCCGCCGGACGCUGAUACGGUAAGCCUCCAGCAGGAAAUGUACCGCCUGGCGCUUCUGAGCCGGCCUC